rnacentral:miRNA from 1 species
UAUUACUCCCUCCGUCCCAUA